rnacentral:rRNA from 1 species
ACGCUAGCUACAGGCUUAACACAUGCAAGCCGAGGGGCAGCAUUUUAGUUUGCUUGCAAACUAAAGAUGGCGACCGGCGCACGGGUGAGUAACACGUAUCCAACCUGCCGAUAACUCGGGGAUAGCCUUUCGAAAGAAAGAUUAAUAUCCGAUAGUAUAUUAAAACCGCAUGGUUUUACUAUUAAAGAAUUUCGGUUAUCGAUGGGGAUGCGUUCCAUUAGUUUGUUGGCGGGGUAACGGCCCACCAAGACUACGAUGGAUAGGGGUUCUGAGAGGAAGGUCCCCCACAUUGGAACUGAGACACGGUCCAAACUCCUACGGGAGGCAGCAGUGAGGAAUAUUGGUCAAUGGACGAGAGUCUGAACCAGCCAAGUAGCGUGAAGGAUGACUGCCCUAUGGGUUGUAAACUUCUUUUAUAUGGGAAUAAAGUAUUCCACGUGUGGGAUUUUGUAUGUACCAUAUGAAUAAGGAUCGGCUAACUCCGUGCCAGCAGCCGCGGUAAUACGGAGGAUCCGAGCGUUAUCCGGAUUUAUUGGGUUUAAAGGGAGCGUAGGUGGAUUGUUAAGUCAGUUGUGAAAGUUUGCGGCUCAACCGUAAAAUUGCAGUUGAAACUGGCAGUCUUGAGUACAGUAGAGGUGGGCGGAAUUCGUGGUGUAGCGGUGAAAUGCUUAGAUAUCACGAAGAACUCCGAUUGCGAAGGCAGCUCACUAGACUGCAACUGACACUGAUGCUCGAAAGUGUGGGUAUCAAACAGGAUUAGAUACCCUGGUAGUCCACACAGUAAACGAUGAAUACUCGCUGUUUGCGAUAUACAGUAAGCGGCCAAGCGAAAGCAUUAAGUAUUCCACCUGGGGAGUACGCCGGCAACGGUGAAACUCAAAGGAAUUGACGGGGGCCCGCACAAGCGGAGGAACAUGUGGUUUAAUUCGAUGAUACGCGAGGAACCUUACCCGGGCUUAAAUUGCAUUUGAAUAAUCUGGAAACAGGUUAGCCGCAAGGCAAAUGUGAAGGUGCUGCAUGGUUGUCGUCAGCUCGUGCCGUGAGGUGUCGGCUUAAGUGCCAUAACGAGCGCAACCCUUAUCUUUAGUUACUAACAGGUCAUGCUGAGGACUCUAGAGAGACUGCCGUCGUAAGAUGUGAGGAAGGUGGGGAUGACGUCAAAUCAGCACGGCCCUUACGUCCGGGGCUACACACGUGUUACAAUGGGGGGUACAGAAGGCAGCUACCUGGCGACAGGAUGCUAAUCCCAAAAACCUCUCUCAGUUCGGAUCGAAGUCUGCAACCCGACUUCGUGAAGCUGGAUUCGCUAGUAAUCGCGCAUCAGCCAUGGCGCGGUGAAUACGUUCCCGGGCCUUGUACACACCGCCCGUCAAGCCAUGAAAGCCGGGGGUACCUGAAGUACGUAACCGCAAGGAGCGUCCUAGGGUAAAACUGGUAAUUGGGG